UACGUAGGGGGCAAGCGUUGUCCGGAUUUACUGGGCGUAAAGAGCGUGUAGGCGGCCAAACAGGUCCGUUGUGAAAACUGGAGGCUCAACCUCCAGACGUCGACGGAAACCGUGUGGCUAGAGUCCGGAAGAGGAGAGUGGAAUUCCUGGUGUAGCGGUGAAAUGCGUAGAUAUCGGAAGGAACACCAGUGGCGAAAGCGGCUUCCUGGUCCAGCACCGACGUUCAGGCACGAAAGCGUGGGGAGCAAACAGG
rnacentral:rRNA from 1 species